CCUACGUGAGACAGCAGUCGGGAAUCUUUGGCAAUGGGCGCAACCCUGACCCAGCAACGCCGCGUGACGGAAGAAGGCUUUCGGUUUGUAAACUUCUUUUCAGAUGGAAGAGCAGACGACGGUACCUCUUGAAUCAGCCACGGCUAACUACGUGCCAGCAGCCGCGGUAAUACGUAGGUGGCAAGCGUUGUUCGGAUUUACUGGGUGGAAAGGGCGUGCAGCUGGGCAGACAAGUCAGAUGGGAAAUCCCGCGGCUCAACCGCGGAACGGCAGUUGAAACUGUUUUUCUUGAGUACCGGAGAGGUCAUCGGAAUUCCUGGUGUAGCGGUGAAAUGCGUAGAUAUAAGGAAGAACACCAGUGGCGAAGGCGGAUGACUGGACGGCAACUGACGGUGAGGCGCGAAAGCGUGGGGAGCAAACAGGAUUAGAUACCCCUGUAGUC
rnacentral:rRNA from 1 species